rnacentral:rRNA from 1 species
GACGAACGCUGGCGGCGUGCUUAACACAUGCAAGUCGAACGGUGAAGCUCAAGCUUGCUUGGGUGGAUCAGUGGCGAACGGGUGAGUAACACGUGAGCAACCUGCCCCGGACUCUGGAAUAAGCGCUGGAAACGGCGUCUAAUACUGGAUAUGACACCAAUCCGCAUGGGUAUGGUGUGGAAAGUUUUUCGGUCUGGGAUGGGCUCGCGGCCUAUCAGCUUGUUGGUGAGGUAAUGGCUCACCAAGGCGACGACGGGUAGCCGGCCUGAGAGGGCGACCAGCCACACUGGGACUGAGACACGGCCCAGACUCCUACGGGAGGCAGCAGUGGGGAAUAUUGCACAAUGGGCGAAAGCCUGAUGCAGCGACGCCGCGUGAGGGAUGACGGCCUUCGGGUUGUAAACCUCUUUCAGCAGGGAAGAAGCGAAAGUGACGGUACCUGCAGAAGAAGCACCGGCUAACUACGUGCCAGCAGCCGCCGUAAGAC